rnacentral:rRNA from 1 species
CCUACGGGUGGCAGCAGUGAGGAAUAUUGGUCAAUGGCCGAGAGGCUGAACCAGCCAAGUCGCGUGAGGGAAGACGGCCCUACGGGUUGUAAACCUCUUUUGUCGGGGAGCAAAGCGAACCACGUGUGGUUCAUUGAGAGUACCCGAAGAAAAAGCAUCGGCUAACUCCGUGCCAGCAGCCGCGGUAAUACGGAGGAUGCGAGCGUUAUCCGGAUUUAUUGGGUUUAAAGGGUGCGCAGGCGGAGGUGCAAGUCAGCGGUCAAAUUGCGGGGCUCAACCCCGUACUGCCGUUGAAACUGCAUCCCUUGAGUGCGCGAGAAGUAUGCGGAAUGCGUGGUGUAGCGGUGAAAUGCAUAGAUAUCACGCAGAACCCCGAUUGCGAAGGCAGCAUACCGGCGCCCGACUGACGCUGAGGCACGAAAGUGCGGGUAUCGAACAGGAUUAGAUACCCCUGUAGUC